UGGGUCUAAUGGGGGCCUCUACAGAGGAUAACGACCAGCUAAGGUGGAACCGGGGCCCCUUCAUACCAGAGAGCCUGUUCGGUUACAAAAUACAGAGCUGGUGGGGAAGACACGUGAAGGGACAGAGGAAUAGGGUGAAUUGGGUUCUCAGGAUGAACAGUGGAAAGGCAGAAGGAGGCAACUGCUGCAGGUAGAGGAGAGCACUUUAUAAACGCUAGCUCAUUAAUCUUCACAACACCUCCGUGACACCGGCUUGAUGAAAGAAACCAACAUCUUCCCUGACUGCAAGAAAGAUGGAACCCAGCAUUUCUCUUCUGCGAGGCAGGCUGUCCUGGCCCCACUGUGGUCCCAGGGGAUACUGCUAUGCCUCUGGUUCUACAAAAGCAAGAACAGAGAAGUGUAUGCUUUCCUCUAGGAGUAAUAUCCCUGAGGUGGAGGCAGCUGUGGCCUUCACCCUUAGGCCAGCACCACACUGACCAGAAAAUGCUACAUGGGCAGAUGAGACUCCAUGAGAAGUGAAAACUGAAAAUAUCAGAGGGAUAAGGAACAGUUGAAAAUUCAGGUUUGAUCAACAGUUUGAAGAAAGGGCUUUGAAAAAUCACUGGAGUUGGGACAGUAAAGAAAGCAAGCCGAAAGGAUGAGAGAAGCUGAAUUACCACCCAUAUUAGACAUGCCCUGAGGCCGGUCUUGUCACAUUGUCUCAGUUGUGACUUGUUCCAUUUGGGGACCAGGUGGAUUUCUGUACUGCUGUCUAGAAAUGCUGUGAUGUUUAUCAAACCAUGUCACUUUACCAUCAUCUGUACUAGAGGAUUGCACUUCAGUGCAUAUUGCCGCAAGACUCUUGCUAAAGGACUCUUAAAUGUCAGCCUGAACACAAAUUGAGUACCCCAGAAAUCCAUUCCCUGCUGUAUUUCUUAAUCUACAAAGAAAAGAAACUUCGUACACUGUCAUAGAUUUUGAGUUAUGGAUUAAAACCUGAUAAACUUCAGUUUCAGAUUAUUCAGUAUGCCAAUGCUAUGGGUAUAUAACUAAACAAGGUUAUAUAACAUUCUAAAGAAGCUAUGAGAAUGCAGCUAGAGGUUAAUAAGCACAGCAAGCUUGCUCAGUGUCAGUAAAUAUCAUCUUCCUCAGGUUUCAUACUUUAUCUUAAACUUCCACAUAUUUCAACUUUUCUAAAACUGUUCUCUUGGAGCUCCUGUUAAAAGGUACUUUCAGGAUCUAUAAACAUAGUCUUACUUUACAGUCAACUCUAAAAUAAUCUGGAAAAAUCCUGUGAAUUCUCCAGCAAGUCCCCAGACAACCAAACCAGUUCUACUUAAG